rnacentral:rRNA from 1 species
AUUGAACGCUGGCGGCAGGCCUAACACAUGCAAGUCGAGCGGAUGAGUGGAGCUUGCCCCAUGAUUCAGCGGCGGACGGGUGAGUAAUACCUAGGAAUCUGCCUGGUAGUGGGGGACAACGUUUCGAAAGGAACGCUAAUACCGCAUACGUCCUACGGGAGAAAGUGGGGGAUCUUCGGACCUCACGCUAUCAGAUGAGCCUAGGUCGGAUUAGCUAGUUGGUGAGGUAAAGGCUCACCAAGGCGACGAUCCGUAACUGGUCUGAGAGGAUGAUCAGUCACACUGGAACUGAGACACGGUCCAGACUCCUACGGGAGGCAGCAGUGGGGAAUAUUGGACAAUGGGCGAAAGCCUGAUCCAGCCAUGCCGCGUGUGUGAAGAAGGUCUUCGGAUUGUAAAGCACUUUAAGUUGGGAGGAAGGGCAGUAAGUUAAUACCUUGCUGUUUUGACGUUACCAACAGAAUAAGCACCGGCUAACUUCGUG